rfam:Helianthus annuus linkage group 13, whole genome shotgun sequence.
UGAACAUAAUGAGGAAUGUUUUAUAUAUUCCGAUCUAAUUCAUGAAUGGAGUAUUAAACCUCCUACUCAUUCUGA